rnacentral:rRNA from 1 species
UACGUAGGGUGCAAGCGUUGUCCGGAAUUAUUGGGCGUAAAGAGCUCGUAGGCGGUUUGUCGCGUCUGCUGUGAAAACUCAGGGCUUAACUCUGAGCUUGCAGUGGGUACGGGCAGACUAGAGUGCGGUAGGGGAGACGGGAAUUCCUGGUGUAGCGGUGAAAUGCGCAGAUAUCAGGAGGAACACCGGUGGCGAAGGCGGGUCUCUGGGCCGUAACUGACGCUGAGGAGCGAAAGCAUGGGGAGCGAACAGG